CUUGUGCUGUCUGAGCAUUUUUAGAGGAAGUCUAAAUGAGACGAUAAAACAAAUCAAAUAUCAACUGAAAGUAUAUAAAGUUCCGUUCAGGCGACUAAGUGAUGCACUUGAGUCAUAUGAGUACAUCUGGUCAUACGCCUUGCUACCAGAGUCGAGCCACAACACAUCCAUGCUCCACUCGCCACGUUAUGAGAAGAGAAAGAUGGAUGGUGAGAUGUAGAAUGGGGUCACCUAGGUGCUGGUAGGGGUAAUGAGUUGUCACGUCUCCUGGGGUGGGGACACUUGGUCUUUUAUACUGUCUACACCUAUUGAUGAUUUCCACACACGUCCCAAAAAAUGUUUAAUGCAAUUACAAUGACGGCAAGCAGAGACUGGCUAUAUUCUGUCUUUCCCUGAGAUCUUAAGAUCUAGGAUAUUAAAUUGACAGACAAAAAAAACUCCACAAACUCCAAAAAAAAU